rnacentral:rRNA from 1 species
UACGUAGGUGGCAAGCGUUGUCCGGAUUUACUGGGCGUAAAGGGCGCGUAGGCGGGCCGUCAAGUCGAGGGUGAAAUCCCCCAGCUCAACUGGGGAAGUGCCUCCGAUACUGGCGGCCUCGAGGGGGAUAGGGGCAUGCGGAACUUCCGGUGGAGCGGUGAAAUGCGUAGAUAUCGGAAGGAACACCGGUGGCGAAAGCGGCGUGCUGGAUCCCUUCUGACGCUGAGGCGCGAAAGCCAGGGGAGCGAACAGG